AACAAAACACGGGGGAGCUGGGUAGGCCGGCUGAGAGUAAGAACCAUAAUUCUUUGACCCUAUGAACCUGAACUGGAUAAUUCCAGCGUAGGAAGAUGUUUGUAAAUUUUUG
rnacentral:ncRNA from 1 species